UACGUAGGGGGCUAGCGUUGCUCGGAAUCACUGGGCGUAAAGCGCACGUAGGCGGUCUUCUAAGUCAGGGGUGAAAUCCUGGAGCUCAACUCCAGAACUGCCUUUGAUACUGGAGAGCUUGAGUCCGGAAGAGGUGAGUGGAACUCCGAGUGUAGAGGUGAAAUUCGUAGAUAUUCGGAAGAACACCAGUGGCGAAGGCGGCUCACUGGGCCGGUACUGACGCUGAGGUGCGAAAGCGUGGGGAGCAAACAGG
rnacentral:rRNA from 1 species